AUACGUAGGGGGCGAGCGUUGUCCGGAAUGAUUGGGCGUAAAGGGCGCGUAGGCGGCUUUGCAAGUCAGUAGUGGAAGUCCAUUUUUCAAGGAUGGAAGUGCUACAGAAACUGCGGAGCUUGAGUGCAGGAGAGGUUAUCGGAAUUCCCGGUGUAGCGGUGAAAUGCGUAGAGAUCGGGAGGAACACCAGUGGCGAAGGCGGGUAACUGGACUGCAACUGACGCUGAGGCGCGAAAGUGUGGGGAGCAAACAGGAUUAGAUACCCUGGUAGUCCACACGGUAAACGAUGAAUGCUAGGUGUAGGAGGUAUCGACCCCUUCUGUGCCGCAGUAAACACAGUAAGCAUUCCGCCUGGGGAGUACGGUCGCAAGAUUAAAACUCAAAGGAAUUGGCGGGG
rnacentral:rRNA from 1 species